rnacentral:misc_RNA from 1 species
GAAAUGCGAUAAGUAAUGUGAAUUGCAGAAUUCAGUGAAUCAUCGAAUCUUUGAACGCACAUUGCGCCCGCCAGUAUUCUGGCGGGCAUGCCUGUUCGAGCGUCAUUACAACCCUCAGGCCCCCGGGCCUGGCGUUGGGGAUCGGCGGAAGCCCCCUGCGGGCACAACGCCGUCCCCCAAAUACAGUGGCGGUCCCACCGCAGCUUCCAUUGCGUAGUAGCUAACACCUCGCAACUGGAGAGCGGCGCGGCCACGCCGUAAACCACCCAACUUCUGAAUGUUGACCUCGAAUCAGGUAGGAAUACCCGCUGAACUUAAGC